CCUACGGGAGGCAGCAGUGGGGAAUCUUGCGCAAUGGGCGAAAGCCUGACGCAGCCAUGCCGCGUGAAUGAUGAAGGUCUUAGGAUUGUAAAAUUCUUUCAGUAGGGACGAUAAUGACGGUACCUACAGAAGAAGCCCCGGCUAACUUCGUGCCAGCAGCCGCGGUAAUACGAAGGGGGCUAGCGUUGCUCGGAAUUACUGGGCGUAAAGGGAGCGUAGGCGGGUUAUCAAGUUGGAGGUGAAAGCCCAGGGCUCAACCUUGGAAUUGCCUUCAAAACUGAUAGCCUAGAGUAUGAUAGAGGUAUGUGGAACUCCGAGUGUAGAGGUGAAAUUCGUAGAUAUUCGGAAGAACACCAGUGGCGAAGGCGACAUACUGGGUCAUGACUGACGCUGAGGCUCGAAAGCGUGGGGAGCAAACAGGAUUAGAUACCCUGGUAGUCCACGCUGUAAACGAUGAUUGCUAGUUGUCGGACGGCAUGCCGUUCGGUGACGCNGCUACGCAUAAGACAUACCGCCGUCGGGAGGUACGGUCGCGAAGAAUUAAAACUAACAAAGAAAGUUAGACGGCGUGAGACGUGCCGACGGACGACGACGAGGGAGGUUAGG
rnacentral:rRNA from 1 species